rnacentral:rRNA from 1 species
AGAGUUUGAUCAUGGCUCAGGAUGAACGCUAGCGGCAGGCUUAACACACGCAAGUCGAGGGGUAGAGGAAGCUUGCUUCCUUGAGACCGGCGCACGGGUGCGUAACGCGUAUGCAAUCUACCUUAUACAGGGGGAUAGCCCAGAGAAAUUUGGAUUAAUACCCCAUAGUAUAAUUGAAUGGCAUCAUUUAAUUAUUAAAGUUCCAACGGUAUAAGAUGAGCAUGCGUCCAUUGGCUAGUUGGUGUGGUAACGGCACACCAAGGCGACGAUGGGUAGGGGUCCUGAGAGGGAGAUCCCCCACACUGGUACUGAGACACGGACCAGACUCCUACGGGAGGCAGCAGUGAGGAAUAUUGGUCAAUGGGCGCAAGCCUGAACCAGCCAUGCCGCGUGCAGGAUGACGGUCCUAUGGAUUGUAAACUGCUUUUGUACAGGAAGAAACACUCCCUCGUGAGGGAGCUUGACGGUACUGUAAGAAUAAGGAUCGGCUAACUCCGUG